rnacentral:rRNA from 1 species
UAAACGACUCUCGGCAACGGAUAUCUCGGCUCUCGCAUCGAUGAAGAACGUAGCGAAAUGCGAUACUUUGUGUGAAUUGCAGAAUCCCGUGAACCAUCGAGUCUUUGAACGCAAGUUGCGCCCGAAGCCAUUAGGCCGAGGGCACGCCUGUCUGGGCGUCACAC